rnacentral:rRNA from 1 species
UACGGAGGGGGCAAGCGUUGUUCGGAAUUACUGGGCGUAAAGGGCGCGCAGGCGGCUGCUCAAGUCAGGCGUGAAAGGCCUGGGCUCAACCCGGGAAUUGCGCUUGAGACUGGGCUGGCUUGAGUGCGGGAGAGGAUGGUGGAAUUCCCAGUGUAGAGGUGAAAUUCGUAGAUAUUGGGAAGAGCACCGGUGGCGAAGGCGGCCAUCUGGACCGCAACUGACGCUGAGGCGACGAAAGCGUGGGGAGCAAACAGG